AUUGCCUCCACAGCUCAAAACUAUACAUUCUCUAAUUCUAAGACUUAUUUUUAUUAUUUUUAAAUACUAAUUUGUUCAUACAAUGGAUAUCCAGGUGGUACUGUUCUUAAGAGGAUUUUAAAGAAGAAAUCUAUGCGAAAACAAUACACAGUUCUGGCCAAAAGAAGUUAAAACAAAUGUGAAAAAUAAGCGACAUCCAGAAACUUCAGCAGCUCCCUUCUGUCCUAUGCCUCAAGGUACCAGAGAGGGAAAAAGACCCCCAGGAGAGGCUGUGAGGAAACCUGAACUGCAAACCCACCACGAUGUCUUCCUGGGAAAGGCAAGUUGGUAAAGAAAGAUGUGAACUCUAUUUCAGGGUAGUAUGUUUUUUUCAUUUGCUUCCAAGACUUUGAUGGAAUGACUUGAGAGGAAAAGUUCACAAUUACUAGAAAGAACCUAAAAGGACAUGAGAGAUGAAACCGUUGCAGUAUUUUUGAAAUAAAUGUUUUCCUGCAAGAGCAGAGUCAUGGGCGGGGUGUCUGUGUAAUAUCUACUCAACACAGCCGAAGGGUAAGAGGAAAUC
rnacentral:lncRNA from 1 species